rnacentral:lncRNA from 10 species
CCCAAUCCCCACCCCUCCACUUGACAUACAAACCCAAAGAGAUUAAUUAACAUUUGUUCCAGGAAGAGACACAGACAAAAACAUCCGAUAUUGGAAUAUUCCUUCGUGAAUAAAUAUAAAACUUAUGGAGAGGGAGGAAGAUAUUUUGAAAGGAAAAAAAUCAUUGGACUUUAUUGCUCAAAGCCAAAAGAAAUUGUUUUUUGUGGCAAAAGUAAAACAAGAUGGAGUUUCGCUCAUGUUGCCUAGGCUAGAAUACAGUGGCACAAUCUCGGCUCACUGCAACCACCGCCUCCUGGGUUCAAACGAUUCUUCUGCCUCAGCCUCCCCAGUAGUUGGGAUUACAGGUAUGUGCCACCAUGCCCGGCUAAUUUUGUAUUUUUAGUAGAGAUGGAGUUUCUCCAUGUUGGUCAAGCUGGUCUUGAACUCCCGACCUCAGGUGAUCCACCCGCCUUGGCCUCCCAAAGUGCUGGGAUUACAGGCCUGAGCCACCGCGCCUGGCCUGUUUUCAUUUUAAGUGUAGUUGUCUAGCAUUUUCAAUACAUUCCCCCCCGUUUGACAAAUUUUAUCUUGCCAUUUAGCUAAUGGGCAAGCAAAAAAUUAAGUGGAAUAAUUGGACAGAACAAUUAUCUGGUAACCUAAACAAUGGUAACAUGAGAUAGGUAUUUUAUGCAUUGUUUGGACUUAUAAACUAUCUAGUGUUCUAAUAAUAGACAUAAUGGUUUAUUCAACUAAUAGCUACUGUCAUCCUUAGAGGUUAUUAACAACUCAAAGUAGUGAAUUACAUCCAACUAAAGGGUGCUUUUGUAUAGACAUUUGUUCUUAUUGCUGGUCACUUAUUCUUCAAAUAUCUUUUAGGCACCAUUUACAAAGAUGACCAGAGGUACAAAAUCUGCAUAUAUAAUAGAAAGAGCCAGGUAGUCAUUCAAUAAAAGAAGGUAUAUAGUACCAGGAAAAGAUUUUUAUCUU